rnacentral:rRNA from 1 species
AUUGAACGCUGGCGGCAUGCCUUACACAUGCAAGUCGAACGGCAGCACGGGUGCUUGCACCUGGUGGCGAGUGGCGAACGGGUGAGUAUACAUCGGAACAUGUCCUGUAGUGGGGGAUAGCCCGGCGAAAGCCGGAUUAAUACCGCAUACGAUCUACGGAUGAAAGCGGGGGACCUUCGGGCCUCGCGCUAUAGGGUUGGCCGAUGGCUGAUUAGCUAGUUGGUGGGGUAAAGGCCUACCAAGGCGACGAUCAGUAGCUGGUCUGAGAGGACGACCAGCCACACUGGGACUGAGACACGGCCCAGACUCCUACGGGAGGCAGCAGUGGGGAAUUUUGGACAAUGGGCGAAAGCCUGAUCCAGCAAUGCCGCGUGUGUGAAGAAGGCCUUCGGGUUGUAAAGCACUUUUGUCCGGAAAGAAAUCCUUGGCCCUAAUACGGUCGGGGGAUGACGGUACCGGAAGAAUAAGCACCGGCUAACUACGUG